rnacentral:lncRNA from 1 species
AACGUUACAGAUUCUUACAGAAGAAUUCAUCCUGCAAGGAUGUACUAACUUUUGCCUCAACAUUUGUUUUAGAACAUGGCAGUUCUACAGUUGAUGAAUUUAUAGCUAACAACAUGUCACUUUGUGCUGAUUGCUCAGAAGAUGACUUAAUCAAUGUUACUUUUGAAGUUUGCAACACCAAAGAAAGAGGUAGGUUUGAUACUAAUUUAUAACUUUAUCCUUCAGACAGUUAGGUGAAUAGAGACACAUUAGCAAUGAAAGUUUGAAUAUGUAGACUCCUGUUGAACUUCCAAAAUUAAAAUCUGUUUACUCCAUCUUGCUCCUGCUUCUUCUCCCACCUCUUUAAUUUUCUUACAGAAGCAGUACCUGCAUCUGUUUUUAUCAAGUAUUUGGAGGAUGUGACUGGACAUAACCAUGAAAACAGUAAACUUCUCUUGCUAUAUAAUAUGCUGGAUCCUGCAAGGCAAAAUGUUCUUGUUGACAGAAAAACCUUUCAUGCUACUAUGAAAAAGUGGAUUACCAUAUGCUAUCAAGAUGGUAUUUCAGAAACUGAACCUGAAAAGCAUGGAAGUACCACUAACAAAAAAUUUCAGUGCAAUGUUGAUAUGAUCUCUUCCAUAUCUGAUGAAGGUGUUGAAAUAUUUGAAGGAAGAGCCGAAGAUUCAGAAAUGUG